UAGAGCAGCACGAGCUCGCGCAUCCUCGGCGCACUGCGCGUGCCCUGUCCUGCCCAACGGCUCGGCGCCAGGUGGGCAAGGUGGAGCCUCGGCGGGAACGCAUAAUAGCCAGGUCUCCUUUACAUAUUUCCCACGAUCACCACUCCGUACACUGGGCCAAUUAACCUACAAACCCACACAUCUUUGGAAUGUGGGAGGAAACAGAAACAACCAAAGGAAACCUAAACUACAGGGAGAAUGUGCAAACUACACAGACAGCAUCCGAGUUCAUGAUCGAACCUGGAUCUCCGUAACUAUGAAGCAGUGGCUCUACCAGCUGUGCCGCACAGAAUUGUUUCAUUUAAUUUGUCUUCCAAAAUAUAGACUACAUUUUCAUUGAA